CGCUAUCUUUCCUGCAUACUGUUGCCUGGGAAUAAGGAACUAGAGACUUAACUAAUUCAGCCAGCUUACAUUCAAGUGUUCCAGACGGCAGUGGCACGUACACCCAGAGACCUCCCUUUUCUGUUUGGUGCUUAUAAGAAAAAGGCAUCUGAAACUGCACUCUAACCCAUAGAUGGCAACUGGCAUUUUGGAUAACUAAUAGAAGGUUCUGUUCUGCUUUUCUGGAAAGGGCUGACUCUUCAGGAAGAUGAAAGAGAAAGCAUACUUUGCAUGAACAUAGUUCUGCUUCUCUGGUAAAGCAAGGCUUUCAAUCUAUUUUCCAGACACUACAGAGAUGCUACUGAACAAGUUGGCUGUCGGAGAAAGCUUUAAAAGGAAUACUUACAUAGUCAACCAGAGCCAGGAAAGGAAAAUAAAUCUAUUGAAGAAUCUUAGAAGCCAAAUCUUCUGAACCUAGGCCUACUGCUGUCAGUAUCUGAGUCCUCCUGCAUCUGAGAAGUACCAGGUCUGACAACGCUUUCCCUCCAACCUACAGUGAGGGACAUCAACAAAGGUGUAGAAAAUUCCUAUCCUCUAGACUUACAGCCCUCAAGCUGUGAAGCUGGGCAGUCUCCAUCCUUAGGGAUGAUUCAGAAAAACAGACAAGUAGGUGUGAAAACUCAGAUAUAACGAGCCAGAAAUAUAUAAAUGCCUUUAAGAAGUCUCCUCACAGAAGAACCCAAUUAAAUUCAUGCAAUUAAUAAACCUAAACAGGAU
rnacentral:lncRNA from 1 species